GACGGACGAUCCAAGCGUUAUCCGGAAUUAUUGGGCGUAAAGGGUGCGUAGGCGGUCAGACAAGUCCCAUGUCAAAGCAUGGUGCUUAACGCCAUAAAGGCGUGGGAAACUGUGUGACUAGAGUACAGCAGGGGCAGGAGGAAUUCCCGGUGUAGCGGUGAAAUGCGUAGAUAUCGGGAAGAACACCAGUGGCGCAAGCGUUCUGCUGGGCUGUAACUGACACUGAGGCACGAAAGCUAGGGGAGCGAAAGGG
rnacentral:rRNA from 1 species